UUUUUUUUUUUUUUUUUAAAUUUCUCAAAUGCUUUUAAUAAUAUAAACCAUUUUAUUAAAAUGGGUAUUUGCGAUUCCGAACGGAAGCCCAGCCCAACAUCAGGUAUAGGAGUUUGCCGUCGAGGCCAGGGCAUCAGACCGGACCAAAGAAAGAGGAGAGCGAACUGAGGGACGGAUUCCAGUGACUUCACUUCCGGCGUCGACCUACGCAUCUCUCUCAGCUUUUUACUGCACAAACGAAGAGCGGAAUCGUAGAAAACGAAAAUGGUGAAAAAAGAAAAUCCAAUUGCAGAAGUAGAUGAAGACGAAGAAGAUUUUGAUGAUGAAGAAGAAGAAGAGGAAGAACCAGUAGACUCGCAAUCAAGAAUGCGGGAUGAAAGGGCGACAAUGGAAGGAUUUCUCCGGAGAAUGUCAUCUGAAAGAGUUCCGUUGAGAGUCCACGACGUGAUAAUCAAAGGAAACAACAAGACUAAGGAGUCCUUAAUCGAAGCCGAGGUCCAAGCCCUAAAGACCGCCACCUCAGUCCAGGAACUGCUUCAGGCAGCCACUAUAGCUAAUGCGCGGCUUCAGAAGCUCGAUAUAUUUGAUUCCGUAAAUGUUACGCUUGAUUCAGGUCCGCCUGACUUGCCUGGGACUUCUAACGUCAUAGUUGAAGUUGUGGAGUCCAAAAACCCUAUCACUGGUGAUAUUGGCAUUUUCACCAAGCCUGAGGCUAGAUCAUGGUCAGUUGAGGGUUCACUGAAGCUUAAAAACAUGUUAGGGUAUGGAGAUAUAUGGGAUGGUUCUUUAUCUUAUGGGUGGGACCAAACAUCAGAAGUUAGCACUGGUGUGGCUUUACCAAGAUUCAUGAAACUGGUGAAUCCUGUUAUGGCUCGUGUAUCUCUUCUUUCUCAAGAUUGGCUAAAGUUUUCCUCUUAUAAAGAACAAGCAAUGGGGUUAUCUCUUGGCUUGAUAUCAACCAGGAAGCAUGACUUAGCAUAUAAUCUGUCAUGGCGCACCUUAACCGAUCCAUCACAAAGGGCUUCUGUGUCUGUAAGGAGACAGCUUGGACAUAAUUUGCUCUCACAUUUGAAGUACACUUUUAAAAUCGAUAAAAGGAACUCACCUCUUAGACCAACUCGAGGCUUUGCUUUUGUUUCCACUUCUCAAAUUGGUGGCCUUUUUCCUGAUUAUCGCAGUGUUCGUUUUAUCCGCCAGGAGUUUGAUCUUCGGUAUGCUUUACCUUUGGGUUUUGCUCGAGCUGCAUUAAACUUUGGGGUUGCUGGUGGUGCUGUAUUUCCAUGGGGAAAUGGAUUCCUAACCACAUCUGUAUCUCUACCCGAUCGAUUCUUCUUGGGUGGAAACUCUUCUCCUGUUUGCACAUUAGGAGGCCCAACAUCAUUACUGGGCUUCAAAACUAGAGGAUUGGGCCCAAGUGAGCCAAGACGCCAAGUCCAAGACAAAUCCAACAAGGAAUCAGGAUCUGACACCUGUCCCGAAAGAGACUUUCUUGGCGGAGACCUUGCUGUUACUACCUUUGCAGACCUUUCUUUUGAUCUCCCAUUGAAAGUCCUCAGAGAUUCCAAUAUUCAUGGACACGCGUUUGCUUGUGCGGGAAGUCUCGUCAAAUUAACCGAAAGUUCAUUUCGUGAUCUCUCCUUUCAGAAAUACACAGACUCCUUCAGAAGCUCUGCUGGGUUUGGGCUUAUUGUACCCACCAAAUUGUUUCGUAUGGAGGUGAACUAUUGCUACAUAUUAAGACAACAUGAACAUGACAGAGCAAAGACUGGAGUGCAGUUUAGCUUUUCUUCACCGUUGUAGAAUCAACCUUGAUAUAUUUCAUUGCCACCAAUCCUGAGUUGACACUCGACAGGCAUAAAUUUGUCAAACCUAACCCUGCACUAUUGCACAUCACUGCUUGUGAUUGGUACUUGGGAAUUUGUGGGUUGACAACGUUGUGGACAAUGUCCAACGAUUUGGUUUACUUGAAGGGACCCCAUUGUCGCAUAGUUAACUUGUAACGUACAAGUUAAUUAACUACCACUUUGGACAAAGCUGACUCGCUGCUUGGUGGGACCUUUUCUUGUUACCACUCACAACUUGACUAUUGGUUUAUUUUCCCAUGAUUAAAAUCUGUUGAUUAAAGUCGAUUAUAAAAAGGAUGUGAUCUAACAUUGUACAAAGUAGAAACCAUCUUUUAUAUUCUUCGAAUCAGUGUUGGGAUUUUAAAAAUCAUUAACCCAUAAUUACGGCUAUUUGUUAAAAAUGACCAAUGAUUUGUGACGUUA